rnacentral:rRNA from 1 species
AUUGAACGCUGGCGGCAGGCCUAACACAUGCAAGUCGAGCGGAUGAAGGGAGCUUGCUCCUGGAUUCAGCGGCGGACGGGUGAGUAAUGCCUAGGAAUCUGCCUGGUAGUGGGGGAUAACGUCCGGAAACGGGCGCUAAUACCGCAUACGUCCUGAGGGAGAAAGUGGGGGAUCUUCGGGCCUCACGCUAUCAGAUGAGCCUAGGUCGGAUUAGCUAGUUGGUGGGGUAAAGGCCUACCAAGGCGACGAUCCGUAACUGGUCUGAGAGGAUGAUCAGUCACACUGGAACUGAGACACGGUCCAGACUCCUACGGGAGGCAGCAGUGGGGAAUUUUGGACAAUGGGCGAAAGCCUGAUCCAGCCAUGCCGCGUGUGUGAAGAAGGUCUUCGGAUUGUAAAGCACUUUAAGUUGGGAGGAAGGGCAGUAAGUUAAUACCUUGCUGUUUUGACGUUACCAACAGAAUAAGCACCGGCUAACUUCGUG